AAAGUUUGACAGACAAUCGCCGGCGGCUUCGCGCCGCGGGAGGAAAGUCCGGGCUUCGUAGGGCAGGAUGCUGGAUAACGUCCAGUCAGCGCGAGCUGAAGGAUAGUGCCACAGAAAUGGACCGCCGAUGGCCGGCAUGCCGGCACAGGCAAGGGUGGAACCGUGGUGUAAGAGACCACGAGCGGCGUUGGUGACAACGCGGCUGGUAAACCCCAUCCGGAGCAAGACCGAAGAGAACGCGGCGGCGCGCGAGCGUUGCAGUCUUAGCCCGAGACGCGUUCGGGUUGGUCGCUUGAGCCGCCCAGCAAUGGACGGCCUAGAUAGAUGAUUGUCGCUUCGAUGGUGGGAGGGUCGUUCCCGUUAAGACCACCGGAAGUACAGAACCCGGCUUAUGGCAAACUUUCCGC
rnacentral:RNase_P_RNA from 1 species